rnacentral:pre_miRNA from 1 species
UGAAUACUCCCUCCGUCCGGAAAUACUCGUCGGAGGAAUGGAUGUAUCUAGAUGUAUUCUAGUUUUAGAUACAUUCAUUUUUAUGCAUUUCUCCGACAAGUAUUUCUGGAUGGAGGGAGUAGAUC